rnacentral:rRNA from 1 species
UGGGGAAUAUUGGACAAUGGGCGCAAGCCUGAUCCAGCCAUGCCGCGUGAGUGACGAAGGCCUUAGGGUUGUAAAGCUCUUUUGGCGGGGACGAUAAUGACGGUACCCGCAGAAUAAGCUCCGGCUAACUUCGUGCCAGCAGCCGCGGUAAUACGAAGGGAGCUAGCGUUGUUCGGAAUCACUGGGCGUAAAGCGCACGUAGGCGGAUUAUUAAGUCAGGGGUGAAAUCCCGGGGCUCAACCUCGGAACUGCCUCUGAUACUGAUAGUCUCGAGUCCGGAAGAGGUGGGUGGAAUUCCUAGUGUAGAGGUGAAAUUCGUAGAUAUUAGGAAGAACACCAGUGGCGAAGGCGGCUCACUGGAUCGGUACUGACGCUGAGGUGCGAAAGCGUGGGGAGCAAACAGGAUUAGAUACCCACGUAGUCCCUGAGCGGGCUGGCAAGGCGCAU